GGCGGGCUCGGGGGGUCCGGCCGGGCCCGGACCCGGCGGGGGAGUCCCGCGGGGAGCGCGUUUGACCCCGGGCACCGCUGCGGGGCUGGGACGGCGGCCCCGGCCUCCAGGGGAGGUUUCUCUCUCGCAGACGCUCGUGUGGACGCUGGAGUGCGGGCAUACGGGAUUCCCCACGCAGGGCCGCACUCCCAGCACCCGCUGCCAACGCCCAGACAGCGGCGGGGAGAGUCUGUAACCCGCCCCCCGACCCGCAGCCUCCCGCCCGGGCGCCUGUUUUCCACCCGGAGGACAGGGAUGUGACAUGGGCAGGAGCCAGAGGUCACAGAUCUGCGGGGCUGAGGCGACUCGGCCGACGUCAACCCCGGGCGCCCGCCCGUCGAGCUGGGGUUUGUGCCUGGGGAAAAGUACGCAAGGGCUUGAACGGGCACGCUCCGUUAACUCGUUUAAAUGGUCACAAGCACACUGCUCUUCCUGAGGAAUUACACCUUAAACAGACUUGGCUGUUUAAUAAAACAGCCCUGGUCCCCUGCAGCGGUGACCUCUGAUCCCAA